rnacentral:tRNA from 1 species
GCCCGGAUGGCGGAAUCGGUAGACGCGUUGGUCUCAAACACCAAUGGCCGCAAGGCUGUGCCGGUUCGACCCCGGCUCCGGGUACCA